GACGAACGCUGGCGGCGUGCUUAACACAUGCAAGUCGAACGGAGUGGCGAACGGGUGAGUAACACGUGGGUGAUCUGCCUUGCACUUCGGGAUAAGCUUGGGAAACUGGGUCUAAUACCGGAUAGUGCAAGAUUAGCUCGCGGCCUAUCAGCUUGUUGGUGGGGUAAUGGCCGACACAGGCGUCGACGGGUCGCCGGCCUGGGAUGGUGGACGGCCACAUUGGGACUGAGAUAGGGCCCAGACUCCUACGGGGGGCAGCAGGGGGGAAUAUUGCGCAAUGGGCGGACGGCUGAUGCAGCGACGCCGCGUGGGGGAUGAAGGCCUUCGGGUUGUAAACUCCUUUCGACAGGGACGCGGUACCUGUAUAAGAAGCACCGGCUAACUACGUGCCAGCAGCCGCGGUAAUUC
rnacentral:rRNA from 1 species